rnacentral:tRNA from 1 species
GGGGCAAUAGCUCAGCUGAUUAGAGCGCCGCCUUUGCAAGGCGGAGGUCCAGGGUUUGAAUCCCUGUUGCUCCACCA